rnacentral:tRNA from 2 species
GGGCUGCUAGCUCAACUGGCAGAGCAACUGACUCUUAAUCAGUAGGUUCGGAGUUCGAUUCUCCGGCAGCCCACCA